UAGGGAAUAUUGGACAAUGGGGGCAACCCUGAUCCAGCCAUGCCGCGCGAGUGAAGAAGGCCCUCGGGUUGUAAAGCUCUUUUGUCCGGAAAGAAAAGCAUUCGGUGAAUACCCGGAUGUUCUGACGGUACCGGAAGAAUAAGCACCGGCUAACUUCGUGCCAGCAGCCGCGGUAAUACGAAGGGUGCAAGCGUUACUCGGAAUUACUGGGCGUAAAGCGUGCGUAGGUGGUUGUUUAAGUCUGAUGUGAAAGCCCUGGGCUCAACCUGGGAAUGGCAUUGGAAACUGGGCGGCUAGAGUACGGUAGAGGGUAGUGGAAUUCCCGGUGUAGCAGUGAAAUGCGUAGAGAUCGGGAGGAACAUCUGUGGCGAAGGCGACUGCCUGGACCAGCACUGACACUGAGGCACGAAAGCGUGGGGAGCAAACA
rnacentral:rRNA from 1 species